UUUCCUACAAUGGACUAGAUCAUUUUGAUUUUUUUAAAUUUAAAUGAUAUAUAUGUCAUGACUAAGUGUAAAGUCGAUAAGGGCUGGGACUCACACAUUAGUGAAUUCGUACUGUAGGGGGAAAAUAUGACUUGUUUUCAUAUAAGAAAUUUUUCCAUUCUCCAAUUGCCAAAGAAAUUAAGGAUAUAAAUAGUUUUCAGUAAGAUAUUACAUGUGUUGACUAAAAUAGAAUUAUUGAGCAUGAUGAGAUGAAAGCAUUCUACCAUUUCCAAGAUUUGGUUGGUUCUUAUAUGUCUUAUUUUUACUCAGGAGGCAAGAGUCUGUCAUCUUUAUGUAUUCUUGGGGCUUGACAAUGACAAAAGGAGACUGGUUUUAUAACUAACUUGCAAAAGUGCAUAAAACACAAGCCAUAUAUAGAGUGUUGCUUACCUUUAAAAGCACUACAAGCAUUCAACAUCCUCUCAAACAUGUGUAUAUGUGAAUCAAGUAAGUUCCUCUUUAAACUGUGGAUUAAACAGAUACAUAUUUCCCCCUACCCCUGCUUGCAUCCACAGUUUUGCUUUCUGCAGAUCCAGUUACCCAGGUCAGCCAUAGUCCUGAAGCAGAUCAUCUGCUUUCUGAUGCAAAUAGCAUCAGAAGACCAAUAGGAACCAAGUGCUACCUCACAACGCCUACAUGAUUUCCUCACUUCAUCUCAUCACAUAGACAUUUUGUCAUCUCAAAUCAUCACAAGAAGGGUCCCAAGAUAAAGAAUACCUUCCAAUACUGUUAAAUAUAGAUAUCUGGACUGAAUUGAACUUAUAUGACAAUUGCAGUCAAGAUUCUGGAACUCAGAAUGGGCAAACCAGGGGUCCCUCCGCAGGGUGGCUCGCAUACCUGGAGUGUUUGUAUUUGGUGGACAACUCUUUCUACUUCAAAUCUCUUAUUCACUGGUACAUACCUCCUAGGAGUAAGGGUGAGUUCCAGUUCCAGCCCCCAGUCCAUGUCUGGAAGCUCCAUUCCCCUCCGCCUCUGGCCAUGGUGCCCUCUUUGCUUUGUGAUUUCAGUGUCCUCAUUUCUCAAGAUCCUCUUUCCCAUGUGGCUCAUCUCAAAGCUCCCAGCCCUUCCCCUAAGACUUCAGUAUACCUGGAACCUAAUUGUGGUCAGGCUUAAAAUCUUGCCUCUCCAUGGAGCCCCACUUCCUACUCCGUGCGAAACCAUGUGAAAAAAAAACAGCAAAACACCCAGUUCCUUCUGGGAAGAGCUAUUGCCUGGUUUCCUGUGCCAGAAUACCUCAGUCUUGGCUUUUACCCAGAUAGGAUCAAUGAAUAUUU